AGAGUUUGAUCAUGGCUCAGAUUGAACGCUGGCGGCAGGCCUAACACAUGCAAGUCGAACGGUAACAGGAAGCAGCUUGCUGCUUUGCUGACGAGUGGCGGACGGGUGAGUAAUGUCUGGGAAACUGCCUGAUGGAGGGGGAUAACUACUGGAAACGGUGGCUAAUACCGCAUAACGUCGCAAGACCAAAGAGGGGGACCUUCGGGCCUCUUGCCAUCAGAUGUGCCCAGAUGGGAUUAGCUUGUUGGUGAGGUAACGGCUCACCAAGGCGACGAUCCCUAGCUGGUCUGAGAGGAUGACCAGCCACACUGGAACUGAGACACGGUCCAGACUCCUACGGGAGGCAGCAGUGGGGAAUAUUGCACAAUGGGCGCAAGCCUGAUGCAGCCAUGCCGCGUGUAUGAAGAAGGCCUUCGGGUUGUAAAGUACUUUCAGCGGGGAGGAAGGUGUUGUGGUUAAUAACCGCAGCAAUUGACGUUACCCGCAGAAGAAGCACCGGCUAACUCCGUGCCAGCAGCCGCGGUAAUMCGGAGGGUGCAAGCGUUAAUCGGAAUUACUGGGCGUAAAGCGCACGCAGGCGGUCUGUCAAGUCGGAUGUGAAAUCCCCGGGCUCAACCUGGGAACUGCAUUCGAAACUGGCAGGCUUGAGUCUUGUAGAGGGGGGUAGAAUUCCAGGUGUAGCGGUGAAAUGCGUAGAGAUCUGGAGGAAUACCGGUGGCGAAGGCGGCCCCCUGGACAAAGACUGACGCUCAGGUGCGAAAGCGUGGGGAGCAAACAGGAUUAGAUACCCUGGUAGUCCACGCCGUAAACGAUGUCUACUUGGAGGUUGUGCCCUUGAGGCGUGGCUUCCGGAGCUAACGCGUUAAGUAGACCGCCUGGGGAGUACGGCCGCAAGGUUAAAACUCAAAUGAAUUGACGGGGGCCCGCACAAGCGGUGGAGCAUGUGGUUUAAUUCGAUGCAACGCGAAGAACCUUACCUGGUCUUGACAUCCACGGAAGUUUUCAGAGAUGAGAAUGUGCCUUCGGGAACCGUGAGACAGGUGCUGCAUGGCUGUCGUCAGCUCGUGUUGUGAAAUGUUGGGUUAAGUCCCGCAACGAGCGCAACCCUUAUCCUUUGUUGCCAGCGGUCCGGCCGGGAACUCAAAGGAGACUGCCAGUGAUAAACUGGAGGAAGGUGGGGAUGACGUCAAGUCAUCAUGGCCCUUACGACCAGGGCUACACACGUGCUACAAUGGCGCAUACAAAGAGAAGCGACCUMGCGAGAGCAAGCGGAMCUCAUAAAGUGCGUCGUAGUCCGGAUUGGAGUCUGCAACUCGAMUCCAUGAAGUCGGAAUCGCUAGUAAUCGUGGAUCAGAAUGCCACGGUGAAUACGUUCCCGGGCCUUGUACACACCGCCCGUCACACCAUGGGAGUGGGUUGCAAAAGAAGUAGGUAGCUUAACCUUCGGGAGGGCGCUUACCACUUUGUGAUUCAUGACUGGGGUGAAGUCGUAACAAGGUAACCGUAGGGGAACCUGCGGUUG
rnacentral:rRNA from 1 species